CAUGCCUAACACAUGCAAGUCGAACGAACCCUUCGGGGUUAGUGGCGCACGGGUGCGUAACGCGUGGGAAUCUGCCCUUUGCUUCGGAAUAACAGUUAGAAAUGACUGCUAAUACCGGAUGAUGUCUUCGGACCAAAGAUUUAUCGGCAAAGGAUGAGCCCGCGUAGGAUUAGGUAGUUGGUGGGGUAAAGGCCUACCAAGCCGACGAUCCUUAGCUGGUCUGAGAGGAUGAUCAGCCACACUGGGACUGAGACACGGCCCAGACUCCUACGGGAGGCAGCAGUGGGGAAUAUUGGACAAUGGGCGAAAGCCUGAUCCAGCAAUGCCGCGUGAGUGAUGAAGGCCUUAGGGUCGUAAAGCUCUUCUACCCGGGAUGAUAAUGACAGUACCGGGAGAAUAAGCCCCGGCUAACUCCGUGCCAGCAGCCGCGGUAAUACGGAGGGGGCUAGCGUUGUUCGGAAUUACUGGGCGUAAAGCGUACGUAGGCGGUUAUUCAAGUCAGAGGUGAAAGCCCGGGGCUCAACCCCGGAACGGCCUUUGAAACUAGGUAGCUAGAGUCUUGGAGAGGUCAGUGGAAUUCCGAGUGUAGAGGUGAAAUUCGUAGAUAUUCGGAAGAACACCAGUGGCGAAGGCGACUGACUGGACAAG
rnacentral:rRNA from 1 species